CAUUUAGAGGAAGUAAAAGUCGUAACAAGGUUUCCGUAGGUGAACCUGCGGAAGGAUCAUUAUUGAUAAACUUUUUUUUAGUUUCUUCAUAUUCCCUGUUUAUAUUAAAUACGUUCCUUCCAUCGGACAGGUCUUCAGGACCCUUCAGCUUGGGCAAAUGCACUUGCUGGGGAGCUGCCGGUGGCAUUUCUAACCGAAAAAGAAAACUUUGUCAUCAUACACUGUCUGAUUUACUUUUGAAACUAAAUAAAACUUUCAACAACGGAUCUCUAGGCUCUUGCAUCGAUGAAGAACGCAGUGAAAUGCGAUAAGUAAUGUGAAUUGCAGAAUCUCGUGAAUCAUCGAAUCUUUGAACGCACAUUGCGCCCUAUGGUAUUCCGUAGGGCAUGCCUGUCUGAGCGUCAGCUCCCACCCACUCAAGUCUUUUUAGAUUUGGAUUACCUUGAGGAAGUGUCAUUUUUUAUAGUGCUGCUCCUCAGAAAUUCAUAGGCAAUACGGCAAAUCCUGAACCGGGCGUAAUAAGGAUAUAAAAUCGUCAAGGCAGGCAAUCUGUAUUAGUCUUUAACCCCCCCCAUUUACUUAUAUUUGGGUGACCUCAGAUCAGGUAGGGAUACCCGCUGAACUUAAGCAUAUCAAUAAGCGGAGGAAAAGAAACC
rnacentral:rRNA from 1 species